rnacentral:lncRNA from 1 species
AGAUUCUCACUCUGUCAUCCAGGUGGAGUGCAGUGGUAUGGUCUCUGCUCACUGAAACCUCUGCCUCUUGGGUUCAAGUGAUUCUCCUGCCUCAGUGGGAUUACAGGCGUGUACCACCAUGCCCAGCUAAUUUUUUGUAUUUUUAGUAGAGAUGGGGUUUUAACAUGUUGCCAGGCUGGUCUUGAACUCUUGGCCUCAAGUGAUCCCCCAACCUUGGCCUCCCAAAGUAUUGUGAUUAUAGGUGUGAAAUACCACGCCCUGCCUUAAAUUAUUAUUUUAAAUUAAAAAAAUGAUGUUUAGAUGCCACGAUGUAGGUGGCAGUACCUUAACUAUAUGCGUGUCGUCAGGCCCAAGGGCCUCUUCCAUCCUUGUCAAGGGGAGUGCUAACCUUCUCUCCUUUCAUACAAUCCAGCUCUCUUAUUUUGAAUCUGCGUGUAUAUACAUGUUGGUUGAGACCGGUGCAGAGUGAUUGAGACUCGGGCUUGUGGGUCUGGUAGGUUCGAGGACUAACUCCAUCGCUUGGGAGCAUGUGGCCUUGGGCAAGUUACUUAAUCCACUGGGAACAGGGGUAUCGUAACCAUCAGAUGGGGAUACUGUCUGGGAUUCCCAUCCCCUAUAUGGGUCUCAAUCCUCUCAGUUUCUGUGGUCUAACAACUAUGUGCCAGGGACUGGGCCAGGCAGAGGCUGGGGUAUCCGUUAGUAAGAUGGGCACGGUCCCUCGCUGCCUGCUCUGAUUUUUGCCCCAGCUCUGAGAGCAGAUUAAUGGUAUUGUAAGUCCUCAUUGUAUGGUUGAAGUCGAGACUCAGGGGAAGAGACCCUCCCAGAAUCUCCCAGCUUGCCUCGGUACCAUAGGAGCAGGACCCCCAGGCUUCCAGGUGCAGCCUCCCAGGUCGGAAGCCAGCAAGCUGGGGCUGUAGAACAGGAGGUGGCUGGGCCUGGAUUCGCUGGCACUGAGUCCUUAAAGGAACCCUGGGUAGCAGAUGUGGCCGCCUUGUACAUCUGCUCAGCAGUGCAUCACUCCUAAAGGCCCAAAGACUCGUCCGGUCCUGACACUGAGCACGUUUCAGAAAAGGUCCCAGGAAAGACAUUUGAAUUGCCACAGCUGCUCAAGGCUUGCUCCCUCACUCAUGCUGUGGGCAAACUAAACAUCCUCUAGUGGGACCAGGCAAGCAGGGGACAAAAUGGAAUGGGGGUGCGGGGGAGGAGAAAAUAAUUUGAUAUUCCAAAAAAUGCUGCAGAGUAAUCAUUUUGGGGGUGAAAAUCAGAAUUUCUUGGGACUUAGACUUUUUUAUGGCUCAGUGGUGUUUUUCUUUAGAAUUUUGGACUGGAGGUAGGGAUAGACCAUAAUCUUUUCAGCACCCAAGAGCCUUCAGCAGGCCUCACUGGCUCUGGGCAGGGGGCAGGGCUUACAGGACCCAGAGCAGGUGACAUCUUACCCACUGUGGAUACUUCCUCCCUCCUCCCUUUGGCACGGUCUGAGGAAUUUUGAAAUCACCCCAUAGCCAGACCCCUUGCAUUUGCUGCCCAGGAGAACCGGGCAGGGAGGUGCCAUGCGGAAAGUCCCGCUGCCUGAUUUUCCUCUGAGCUCAUCACUGCAGCCUGAGAGCCCCCUUCUCUGUCAAGUGGGUGACUGAACUGAAUACACCAGACCCCCCUUGGCAUUCUUCUAAGAUCCUAAGGAGGAGGAGCUGAGGAAGGCACGGGGUGGAGCCUGGGGCUGUGGUUUGGAGGAUGGGAGGGCUGGGGGAGGGAUUCAGAGAUUGCAGCUGGGAAAUUUGGAUCGGCCUAUGAAGACUUUGUGGUUCAUUCUCAUGAAACUCGCUUCCUCUCACUGGAUUUCUGCCCUGGGGGAUGUGGGGUUCAAGUGAAAACACUGGCUUUUCCUUCUUGGUGACUGAGGCUUAAAUUCUGGUCUCCCAAGCAAAUAUUUAAGAAAUAACUCUCUUUUCCCUCCUUGUCCAUUGUAAAACAAACCCUCUUUUUCGCCCAUGUCUCCCACCCUCCUGAAAAGAAUUCGGUUGUCUUGCUGCUUACUAGCUGGUAGCACCUGGCUUUCCAGCAGGCUGGUUGAAAACAGAAAAUGCUUCUCUGCUUAAGACAGGGAAAGGGCGUGGGCUUUGGCAUCAGAAACCUGGCUUUCCUGUAGACUAGCUGUGUCGGGCCUGGGGCGUCUUCCCAAGACUCAAUUUCCCUGUCUGUGAUAAUACGUGCCUACUUCUCAGGGCAUUAUAAGGACUGAACAAGAAUGUCUGUGUGAAACACCAGGCGCAUGGUCGGGGGUGGUACAUGGUAGUUCUUCCCGGGUGACACCAUAUUCAUCCCAGGGUCCAUGGGACAAUGAGGUCAAAGAAGGACCAGCUGAGGCUGGUGUGCCUGCUUGCUGGCUUAGUAUCUGGGGAGAAAACACUGGAAGAAAAGCAAAUCCUUGCUGGUGGGGUGUGGGGGUGAGUUUGUGUGGGUCCUGCCUCUUCAGUGAGACAUGUCUACCACUUGGGAGGGGCGUAGGGUGGAGGUGGGGGGCCAGGAGUCACAGCCUUUUCCGGGGGUUGGGUUCAUGCGGCCGCCACUUAAGCCUAUCUGAGGGGAGAGGUUAGUGGGAGAGUCAGGAUGAGUUUCUGCUGAAUUCCUUCUUGUCAAGCUUGCUUUUGUGGGCUUAACAUGAGAAGGGUGGGGAGGGGGCCAUAUCUUAAAAAAGAGAAAGGCUGGGUUCAGUGGCUCGCGACUAUAAUCCCAACACAUUAGGAGGCUGAAGUGGGAGGAUCAGCUGAGGCCAGGAGUUCAGACCAGCCUGGCCAACAUAACAAAAUCUCAUCUCUACAAAAAUAAAAAAUAAAUUAGCUGGGUGUGGUGGCUUACACCUGUAGUUUCAGCUACUCUGGAGGCAGGGGCGAGACAGGAUUGCUUGAGCCAGGAGUUUGAGGCUGUAGUGAGCUAUGGUCACACCACUGUACUCCAGCCUGGGCAACAUAGUAAGACCCUGCCUCUGAAAAAGUAAAAGGAAAAAUUAGUCAGGCAUGGUGGUGUGUGCCUGUAGUCCCAGCUACUCAGGAGGCUGAGGUGGGAAGAUCGCUUGAGCCCAGGAGUUCAAGGUUACGAUGAGCUGUGAUUGACUGGGUCACUGCACUCCAGCCUGGGCAAUAGAGGAAGACCCUGUCUCUCUUGAAAAGUGUCUUUGCUUUUGAAACUUCGAGGGCGAUUAAACAGAUACUGAAGUACAAGCAAAAUGUUAGUCUUCAACUUGCCCAGCCAGACCACUGUGUAUCUGGGAAAAGUCAACUAGACUGCUUGCUCCAGCUGGUUGGUCUGGUUGGUGUGGAGGGUGAACCCUCCUCUGGCCCGAGGCGUACACCCUCUCUCCUCCUUCUGUGUCUGGUGAUGGCAAACGUUUAUCUUUGCUCAGGCCUGGGUGCACGCUAACCUCGGCCAAAUCUCUGAAUGUUCAAACAUCUGCCAAAAUACCACAUUUCGACAAUGGGCCUUCUCUAUAGAGAUGAGGUUACGGGGGCAGUACUGGGAUGCUGGAAAACCACUUAAACUAAACUGCGGGAAGGGGCAGGGUCCAGGAUCCUGACUUUGAGUGUAAGGGGUGGGGAAGGAGCAGGGGGCAGCUCCUUGCCAUACAGAGAGGCCUGAGGACCAGCUCCCUGCUUCCAGAGCCGGAGCGGGGAGGGGGCUGCUGCCAACCUAUCUUGGCAUUCUCCCUUUCGUCCUUGGGGUAGAUUUCGUUGUAAUUAGACAAGUUGUGACAAAUAGCCCAUUGGUCUUUGGGCUGGAGAAUUGUGCCGAGUCCUGCCUGGAAACCCAGCCUUGUUCACUUGGGAGCCAUAAUUAGGCAAGAGAACAGUUCAUGAGCCCUUUGAUUCAAUAAAGACCCUUUUAUGAUGUUGGUUUUUCCCAGAAAAAUCAUACCACUUUGCUCCAUGUAUUGCAUUUAGAUGUGUAAUCAUAUUAGAGCUAAGCAGCCCAGGGGACUGAAGUUGUGUAGCUGGGGUUGUAGGGGCAGAAAGGUGCAAUCCCUUUCCUCCCCGUAAGGGUCACGGCUGACAUUUCUGUAACAAAGACAGGUUAACAGGAGAAAAGUUUGACAAAUUUAUUUAAUCAGUGUUUUACAUGACAUGAGAGCCUUCAGAAGUAAGACCCAGAGAACCAGGGAAAACUAUUUUUAUGCUUAGAUUGGAGGAAGAAGGGACAACCAUCUAGGAAUGUGAUAGGACAAAAAGGGUACGACCUAAUGUAAUAGACAGAGGGGACCACCCAGCAAGGCCUGUCUAUUCAGAUGCUUUUUGGCCUCACUGUGCAGCAUGUCUGGGGCGUAUGGGGCAGGACCCCUUUGGGAUGAGGGGUGAGAAGGGAGAGAGUGACCUUUGUAGAUACUAUGUCUUGCUUUGGGGGAGAGGAGUUCUACUUCCUAUGACCCACCUUGGGGAAGAGGAAUUCUGGUUUCUGUGCCUGGCUGCUGGGGAGAAAGAGGGGCAAGAGACAGAAGGGUGGAAGAAGGUCAGAGAGAACUUGCUUUCUCCUUUAGUUCAAAGUGCUCAGUGUACCAAAGCGCCAGGCUCUGGGGUAUUGUGUUCUCAGCCCCAUGGCGUAAAGCCUGUUACCCGGUCUUCAGAGAAAAACAGUGUCCUCAGAAAAAAAGAAAAUGACAAGGAACACUUCUAAAGAUUUUCUCUCUUGUCAUCUAAAGAACAUUUUCUCCCUUCAGAGUGAGAAGUGACCCAGGGGGAAAAACCAGAAAGUGAAACUAACUUGACAGGCCAGUGGCAGCGGCAGCCCCUGGUGCCUGCCCUCUGCAGUCCUGUGUCGGCCCAGGCCACGCGUGCCCAGCAUGGUCGAUAUUUGUCAGACGGAUAGCACGUGUCCAGCCAAGGGCCAGAGAAAAUGCCCCCAGAGGAUGCUUGCAUCCUUUCCACAAAGAGUUGUGGUCAGCCCACUGGGGUCUCCACCGGGGUGGCAGGGCUGCAGAUGCUGGUGUGUGCAGGUGGCAGUUCUCGGCCUCCUCCUCAUUGCCUCCCUGUGAGGGGCAGUCAGCCCUGACUACAUAUAGCCCUGGAGCUUGCGGGCAGCUUUCAGCUCGUUGGGAAGGUGUGCUGGGCCUGCGACAUUGACCGGACAGUUCUUCCAGGCAUGAGAGGGAUGCCCUGCCCAGGUCGCUGUCACAGGCACACCCCCUCCCACCAGCCACCCUCUUGCCUUCUUACCCCAAGACCAUGUUGUCAGGCAGGCCAAAAGCAUUUCCCAAUCAUGGAGUCAGAUGUGUCCCAGAAAUCUGCCCUGUGCCCAGGAGAGGUCGAAAUCGCCAGUGGAAUCAAGAACCUCUUUCCCAAUUUGGGGUUUAGAAAUCUCUGGCAAUGAGGAAAUUUCUGGUAGUCAUUUGUAAGAGUUACUCUAUUAAGAAAUAGAGAUAGAGGGUAUGACAUUUCAGAAUGCUAAAAUUUUGUUGCAUUAGAAAGGGGGAAAAUCCGUUUACUUCCCAAACAUCUGGUGGGAGUUAUCACCAAAAUAUAUUUUCAGAUAUCCUCUAAUGCAGAAAAACUGUAUUUUAUAGGACGUGGUUUAUCUGUUUGUAGAUAAUGUGAUUAAAAUACUUCUGCAGUGUCGCUACUAUCUUAAGGUGACUCUUUUUAACCUUCAUACUGUAGGCUUUUUAAAAACACAUAGAGAUGGGGGUCUCACCGUGUUGCCCAGGCUGGUCUCGAACUCCUGGGCUCAAGCAAUCCUUCCACCUGAUCCUCCUAAAGUGCUAGGAUUACAGGUGUGAGCCACCAUGCAUGGCCUACUUAGGCUUUUUGGAAGAUACUUUACACUUUUUGGAAGAAGUGCUAUUUCUUCUGGAUACUUUACACUUUUUGGAAGAAGGGCUAUUAAGUUAUAUAUAUGUAUACAUUGCUUCCCCCCCCGCCCCGCCAAAGGAGUAUAAUUAGAGCAUCUGAAACCAGAUUAUCCAAUUAGUACAUUUUUCUAAUUAGCUGUUAGGAUUUCGUGAUGAGAUAAAUUAUUUUAGAUUUCCAAGUGGAACUUUGGCCACAGGGAGGCUCUAAGGAAGUACACAGGGGAGAAAAAUAAUGGGUUUUUAAAGUUUUGACUCCACCCACUCACCUGCUCCCCCAAAAACCUAAUGUGCCUGCCCAUGAGGCAGCAACAGUGACCAGAAAACAGUUUCUUUUCCUUGUUCUGAGUAAAUGGAGUUGGAAGAAUUAUUCAUUUAUAUUGGCUUUUCUUUGUUCCUGGUAAUGAAGCAGGCAGACAGGGGUUGGCUUUAAAUGCUAUUUUUUCUACAUUUUCAUCAGUCAUAUUAGUAGCUGUUCUUUGGCAGAAAAAAAAAUCUGGUGAUCAGGAUUAAUUCAGAACCUAUUUACUGUGAGCCUUGUAUGUGCUUUCUCUGUGCCAGGUGGCAAUGAAGACCGUCUGUCAGGGGGAUCGGGGGGAUGUCCUGUCAAGACCCAGGGGAUGAAGUCAGGACCCAGCUUUUGCAUUUUGUAACUGUGGUUGAUGCAGGCCCACCAUCCUUUGUCCAAAAUUCUGGAUACGCAAGAAAACUGGAUACUGAACGUUGUUUUUGCCGCUAAUUGAAUGGGAAGACCUGACCCAAACUGACAGACUAUUGGAGUCCAUAUUUAUCCUGGGGAGUGUGAAUACUCAUGGGUUUCCCUGCAGAGAUAUUAAUGUUUGAUUAUGGGUGCUGCCUUGCUGGGGUGUUACAUAAUAUGUGGCAUAGGCACCACAUUCCCUUUCUAAAACUUGAAAAGUUCUGGAACACAUGGCCUGAAGGUUUGGAGUAAGAGACCCUGCCCUGGAGUAGCGUCCACUUAAGACUACAGCAGCCGUGUGCUCAGAGUCCCUGCUCUGCCAGGGCCCGUUUCCACUUCAGCCAUAGGAGGAGCCUGAAGGCAGAUUGAGAGUCCAGCUGACCAGUGGGUGAGAUGCCCAAACAGCUGUACCGCCACCAGGGCAGGUGACUUGGCUGCCCCAUGACCCUCAGAGGCCUUCCCUCACCAGGUGCCAAGCAAAGAUUGUUCAGAAGCAGAUUCUGUUCUGCUGUCAUUGUGAAUACAUCAAUGAAUGAGUACAUCUAUGUUCUAAUAAAACUUUAUGAGGGCCAGGUGCGGUGGCUCACACCUGUAAUUCCAGCACUUUGGGAGGCCGAGAUGGGCAGAUCACUGAAGGUCCAGAGUUUGAGACCAGCCUGGCCAACAUGGUGAAACCCUGUCUUUAUUAAAAAUACAAAAAGUAGCUGGACAUGAUGGCGGGUGCCUGUAAUCUCAGCUAUUUGGGAGGCUGAGGCAGGAGAAUCACUUGAACCCAGGAGGUGGAGGUUGCAGUGAGCUGAGUUUGUGCCGCCGCACUCCAGCCUGGGUGACAGAGUGAGACUCUGUCUCAAAAAAAAAAAAAAAACCCAAAAAACAAAACUUUAUGAAAACAGAUGGUGGGCUGGGAUGGCCCUUUGGCCAGAGUUUGCUGAUGCCUUGUCAAAACGAUAAAUGCAUCCUUAAACAUACUGUUUUCUUCCACAGACUUUAGCCCUGCCAUCUGCCUGCCUGGUCUGCUUGUCUUGUUCCCCACCCCUGGCCAAGUGGAGUUGCCUUAAAGAGAUAAAAGUUGUGCCUCUAGUGUCAGUACCCACCCCUUGCUUGGCUCCUCCAGAUGGUCUGGAAACAUAGAUGGAAAGCAGGCGCUGCCCUCACCGACCUGGCCUCGGUAGCAGGAGUGUGUUUUUGUGUGGACAACUGCAGUUGGGCCCAGGUCCAGCCUUGCUGACGGCUACUCACUUGGGCCUCCACCCACUGAUGAAUUUUGGGGGCAGAGCCAAGCCCCAAGAUAUGUUGGCUGGCAGCCUGGGGCCAGGCAGGGCUGCUGUUGUGGGAGCCCAGUCCCAGGUGGGUUUGUGAGGUGUACGGGGAGUGAGGGGUUGAGAAUGAGUGUUUUCAGAGCUGAUGUGUUCUUAGCAAAAGAAUUUCUGGCAGAGAGAGGUUGAUUAUCGUAAACCCAGCGGCUCUGAUGGAUGAGUUUCAGGUCUCCUGGCUUGUUCAUUCCCAGCCUCGGAAUGUCCAGCAAGGGCGGGGCCAGCCUGCGAGGCCAAGACCUCUUUUCACUGCAUCAGAAGUUUAAAUCCAGUUGAGCCCUCUGACUUGCACCUCUGUAGUGGUCUGGCCUGGGGAAGACUGGCUGGGGUGGACAGAAGGAGGGCGGGACCCUCAGAGCCCACUCUUCUAGUCUGUGUGCUGGAAUCACCCCUGUCCUCCCCAACCUCCAACCCCGUCAAGCUGCACCAAGGAUGUUUGGCCUCUGACUCAAAGAAGGCCUGGCCUUUCCAGGCUGCAGGGCCAGAUCCUCUCAGCCAGCCCCUGCAGCAGGCCCCAGCAUCCCAGAGAGGCAGCGGGUCCCUGUAUGUGCUCAGCACCUUCUCUCUGUAGGCGGUUUCUCUCCCAAGACAUUUGAGACUUUUGCCCUCUGCCUGGUCACCUUCUUUCCUAGCCAGGAUAGGGCUGGUGGAUGGUUUUGUUUUUUUUUUUCCUUAAAGCCAAUUCCAAACAAGGGCUGAUAUUUAGUUGGCCUUUCUUUUUCUUCUCUCAUGGUUUUGUGGGUUGCUGGCACUUUAGGGACUCUGUUCAGAGUGGAGCCUCCUUACUCUACAGCUCGCUGGUAAGCCCUGGUGGCCCAUCAGCCCACAGAAGGGGGCACUCACUCAGGUCUUACCUUGGCCUUUCCUUCCUGGCUCAAAACCUGUGGGUUCACCUCACAGGUGAGCAACCUCCAGCUUGACCUCAAGUCCUUCUUUUACAAUACGUUCUCAAGGAGACAGAAGCCAAGAGUCUGGGCCCUGCCUCUUCCUUAGCUCCGACCCCAGGCUCACAAAGGAAUUGGAGGUACACUGGCAGUUCUAUAUGAUUGCUGUCCACUUAUUCUAUGAGCAAGGGGACACUUGUUUUGGCCCAGUGGUUUUCAUUAUUCUCCUUCUCCUCCUCUCCCUCCUCCUUCUCCUCUCCUUUCUCCUGCCACCUCUCUCCCCUCCUCACCCUCCUGCCUCCCCAACCUGCUGUUACAUAUGACUUCUAGUAAGUCUCCUUAAAAGGAAGAGAGGAUUUCCUUCUUUUCCCCUACCCCAUCCCACUGCCUGAAAUGUGGGUGCAAUAGCUGGAGCUCUAGUAGCCAUUUUGGACCCUGAGGACAAGAGUCACAUCCUAGAAGUGACAGAGCAGAGAGCUGGAGGAAGCCUGAAUCCCUGAUAAUUCUGUGGCAUCACCACACCACACCAGGCUCAGGCCACCUACUUCUGAACUUCAUAAAAGAUGUGAUAGUGUGGUCGGGCGUGGUGGCUUCUGCCUGUAAUCUCAGCACUUAGGGAGGCCAAGGCAGGUGGAUCACUUGAGGUCAGGAAUUUGAGACCAGCCUGGCCAACAUGGCGAUACCCUGCGUCUAUUAAAAAUACAAAAAUUAGCAGGGUGUAGUGGCGCACGCCUGUAAUCCCAACUACUUGGAGGCUGAGGCAGAGGAAUCGCUUGAACCCAGCAGUCAGAGGCUGCAGUGAGCUGAGAUCAAGCCACUCCACUUCAGCCUAGGUGACAGACUGAGACUCUGCCUCAAGAAAAUAAAUAAAUAAAAAUAAAAGAUAUGAUAGUAUUAGAGAAAUUAACUUCUAUUUAAGCCAUUGUUAUUUUAUGAUUAAAAAAACCCAAACAGUUUAAUCUAUCCUAAUUGAUAAGUCUUUACUCCCCAACAUCAGCUCAGGUGUGCCUCUGCAGGGCCCCAGACUACACUGAAUACUGUUCUGGCCAUAGGAAAAUCAGCUGGUUAUUGUGAACUGUGCUGACUCUUAGAGAUUCUGCCCAGAACAAAACGUGUCAACUCUGCUCACAUCGUGUUGACCAAAGCAAGUCAUGUGGCCAAAUCUUAUGGCAAUGGGGUGGGGAUAUAGAAUCCCCUCAAGGGGAAGAACAGGGAAUAUUUAGAAAUAAUAAUAUGAUCCAUCCUAAUAGUCAACAAAACCAAGGCCCAAAGAAGCAAAGUGGCUUACCUGAGGUUUUACAGACUACUAGGAGGCAGAGUUAGAAUCCUGGUUGAGGACUAGUAUGGUGGCUCAUGCCUGUAAUCCUAGCACUUUGGGAGGCCAAGGUGGGUGGAUCACCUGAGGUCAGGAGUUUGAGACCGGCCUGGCCAACAUGGUGAAACUCCGUCUCUACUAAAAAUACAAAAAUUAGCCGGGAGUGGUGGCAGGUGCCUGUAAUCCCAGCUACUCGGGAGGCUGAGGCAGGAGAAUCUCUUGAGCCUGGGAGGCAGAGGUUGUGGUGAGCCGAGACUGCGCCACUGCACUUCAGCCUGGGCAACAAGAGCAAAACUCUGUCUCAAAAAAAAAAAAAAGAACCCUGGCUGGGCUGAUUUCAACUCUAAUGCUCUUUCCUUUACACUUUACUAUGUCUCAAAAGGAACACUUGAUUUGGGAACACAUAAUGGCUUCGAAGAAGGCAGUGUUGGUGAAAUCAGGCUCACCUACUAGGUCUUAUUUCCAUGAUUUAUCCCUUUCCUGCAGUCUUCUUUGGGGCAGCAGUUAUAAUCGCCCUCUCUUCUCUUCCCCUCUUUUGAAGUCCAAGGUAUCAAAAUUUAUUACUACAGUGGAGACUAGGAAGUGCACCCCUGCCCAACUUGAGGAAGGAUAACAAAAUGUGUGGAGCAAUGUGUGAAAUAGCCUUCACAUGCGAACACAGAUAUUCCCAGAGGCAAAGGCAACACAGUGUGACCAUAUUGGGACCUUUCCAAUGAAUUCAGAUAUUUUAAGGAUAUAGACAAAAGUCAGGAGGAAAGGCAUAUUCCUAAGUGGUAUGCAGGAAAGAAUUAUGGGAUAUUGUGGGUCUUUACAUUUUUCUCCUGUGUUGUGAGCUGUUCUGGUUCCUUCAUCUUCCAAACCACUAAUUCGAUUUUCCACAUAACCAAUCCACCUUUCAGUAGUCAAUGUAUUUUAAAUAUUUAAAUUUGCACAGUUUCUUUUACUCCCAGAAACUUUUUAAAUGCUGUAACUGUAUCUCCUCAAGAGUUUUUUUUUCCUUUUUCAGUUAAUUUUCUUGUGUAAUUCUUCCAUUAGUUCAAUAGCAG